rnacentral:rRNA from 1 species
CACGUAGGGGCCAAGCGUUGUCCGGAAUUAUUGGGCGUAAAGAGCUCGUAGGCGGUCUGUUACGUCUGCUGUGAAAACCCAGGGCUUAACCCUGGGCUUGCAGUGGAUACGGGGCAGACUAGAGGCAGGUAGGGGAGAAUGGAAUUCCCGGUGUAGCGGUGAAAUGCGCAGAUAUCGGGAGGAACACCGGUGGCGAAGGCGGUUCUCUGGGCCUGACCUGACGCUGAGGAGCGAAAGCGUGGGGAGCGAACAGG